rnacentral:rRNA from 1 species
GAUGAACGCUAGCGGGAGGCCUAACACAUGCAAGCCGAGCGGUAGAGAUUCUUCGGAAUCUUGAGAGCGGCGUACGGGUGCGGAACACGUGUGCAACCUACCUUUAUCUGGAGGAUAGCCUUUCGAAAGGAAGAUUAAUACUCCAUAAUAUAUUGAUUGGCAUCAAUUGAUAUUGAAAGCUCCGGCGGAUAGAGAUGGGCACGCGCAAGAUUAGUUAGUUGGUGAGGUAACGGCUCACCAAGACGAUGAUCUUUAGGGGGCCUGAGAGGGUGAUCCCCCACACUGGUACUGAGACACGGACCAGACUCCUACGGGAGGCAGCAGUGAGGAAUAUUGGUCAAUGGGUGCAAGCCUGAACCAGCCAUCCCGCGUGAAGGACGACUGCCCUAU